CCACAUCCCCUGCAGCCUUUCUUCUUCAAAUGUCUCUCCCAAAUUCUGCUGUGAGAUUAACCCCAAAUCUUUACCAAAACCACCAUUUGUAACAAAUAUCACUACCACGUAGAAGGCAAAGUGACACACGUUGUCUCGUCAAGCAAAUCUACACUCCCUAAUUCCUCUAUUAACACUAAUGAAACCAAAGGAUUUGUCCCUGUUUUUACCACUUUGGAUAAUCAAAUUCCCACCGUAAUACUCCCCAAAAUCGAUCACAGCAAUGUCCCAACAACAUUCAGCCAAUCAAGUAACGACGGAGGAAGAACCCAUUCCUCCAUUGACGCUAGUCUCUGCUCCCCUUCCCCCGAAUCAUUCCUCGGGAUCGUGGCUAGAGAUGGCCAUUAAGGGCCAAAGUCAGGUCUUCAACAUGAAGAUCGAUUUGGUCCUGGUGUCAAUUCAUGUACAAGACCCUCUCGUCCUUGCCUAAUC
rnacentral:lncRNA from 1 species